rnacentral:rRNA from 1 species
UACGUAGGGAGCAAGCGUUGUCCGGAAUCAUUGGGCGUAAAGCGCGUGUAGGCGGCCCGGUAAGUCCGCUGUGAAAGUCGGGGGCUCAACCCUCGGAUGCCGGUGGAUACUGUCGGGCUCGAGUACGGAAGAGGCGAGUGGAAUUCCUGGUGUAGCGGUGAAAUGCGCAGAUAUCAGGAGGAACACCAAUUGCGAAGGCAGCUCGCUGGGACGUUACUGACGCUGAGACGCGAAAGCGUGGGGAGCAAACAGG